UACAGAGGGUGCGAGCGUUAAUCGGAAUUACUGGGCGUAAAGCGUGCGCAGGCGGUUCGUUGUGUCGGCGGUGAAAGCCCCGGGCUCAACCUGGGAAUGGCCGUUGAAACUGGCGAACUGGAGUGUGGCAGAGGGGGUGGAAUUCCGCGUGUAGCAGUGAAAUGCGUAGAGAUGUGGAGGAACACCGAUGGCGAAGGCAGCCCCCUGGGUCAAGAUUGACGCUCAUGCACGAAAGCGUGGGGAGCAAACAGG
rnacentral:rRNA from 1 species